ACUGAAUUGCCAUGAUUGGCCAUGAACUUGGAAUCUUCCUGUCUUGGUCUCCUGAGUAGCUGGAUUGACAGGCUGGGGCCACCAUGCCUGGCUGUUUCCAGUUAACUUUUAUUAUCUGGGCUUCUGGGGAAGAGAGCAUAACUGUGACUUACCUAUGUGAAGAAUUGUAUGGACAUGGAGGACAAGGAGGACCAUGCACGGGGCAUCUAUCCUGGUGGCAGAUAAGAGUAAGACCAGAAUUGGCAGUCUGGAAGCAAAUUCUCCACUUGGCCCCUCCCACAGUGACACUGCCAUCCUGAAUGUACUUCUUGUGGGCCUGGAAGGGAGAGUAAAGAUCAUCAUCCAGGAGACGUGAGGAUCAUGGCCUUUGGAGUCAAAUGAGCCAGGCUCAAGCUGUGAGAGAUACUUACUAUCCUGACUCUGUAUCUCUCAUCUGUGAAAUGGGGAUAACUUGCCAGACAGGAUUGUAGAAAUAAAAUGGGGCCCCUA
rnacentral:lncRNA from 1 species